rnacentral:tRNA from 1 species
GCGCGAGUGGCGGAAUUGGCAGACGCGCCAGAUUUAGGUUCUGGUGCCUUCGGGUAUGCGGGUUCAAGUCCCGCCUCGCGCA